GACGUAGGGCGCGAGCGUUGUCCGGAUUUAUUGGGCGUAAAGAGCGUGUAGGCGGCCUGAUAAGUCGGCUGUGAAAGUCAAGGGCUCAACCCUUGAAUGCCGGCCGAUACUGUCAGGCUAGAAUCCGGAAGAGGCGAGUGGAAUUCCUGGUGUAGCGGUGAAAUGCGCAGAUAUCAGGAGGAACACCUAUGGCGAAGGCAGCUCGCUGGGACGGUAUUGACGCUGAGACGCGAAAGCGUGGGGAGCGAACAGG
rnacentral:rRNA from 1 species